UGGCGGCGUGCCUAAUACAUGCAAGUCGAACGAGUUCUCGUUGAUGAUCGGUGCUUGCACCGAGAUUCAACAUGGAACGAGUGGCGGACGGGUGAGUAACACGUGGGUAACCUGCCCUUAAGUGGGGGAUAACAUUUGGAAACAGAUGCUAAUACCGCAUAGAUCCAAGAACCGCAUGGUUCUUGGCUGAAAGAUGGCGUAAGCUAUCGCUUUUGGAUGGACCCGCGGCGUAUUAGCUAGUUGGUGAGGUAAUGGCUCACCAAGGCGAUGAUACGUAGCCGAACUGAGAGGUUGAUCGGCCACAUUGGGACUGAGACACGGCCCAAACUCCUACGGGAGGCAGCAGUAGGGAAUCUUCCACAAUGGACGCAAGUCUGAUGGAGCAACGCCGCGUGAGUGAAGAAGGCUUUCGGGUCGUAAAACUCUGUUGUUGGAGAAGAAUGGUCGGCAGAGUAACUGUUGUCGGCGUGACGGUAUCCAACCAGAAAGCCACGGCUAACUACGUGCCAGCAGCCGCGGUAAUACGUAGGUGGCAAGCGUUAUCCGGAUUUAUUGGGCGUAAAGCGAGCGCAGGCGGUUUUUUAAGUCUGAUGUGAAAGCCCUCGGCUUAACCGAGGAAGCGCAUCGGAAACUGGGAAACUUGAGUGCAGAAGAGGACAGUGGAACUCCAUGUGUAGCGGUGAAAUGCGUAGAUAUAUGGAAGAACACCAGUGGCGAAGGCGGCUGUCUGGUCUGUAACUGACGCUGAGGCUCGAAAGCAUGGGUAGCGAACAGGAUUAGAUACCCUGGUAGUCCAUGCCGUAAACGAUGAAUGCUAGGUGUUGGAGGGUUUCCGCCCUUCAGUGCCGCAGCUAACGCAUUAAGCAUUCCGCCUGGGGAGUACGACCGCAAGGUUGAAACUCAAAGGAAUUGACGGGGGCCCGCACAAGCGGUGGAGCAUGUGGUUUAAUUCGAAGCAACGCGAAGAACCUUACCAGGUCUUGACAUCUUUUGAUCACCUGAGAGAUCAGGUUUCCCCUUCGGGGGCAAAAUGACAGGUGGUGCAUGGUUGUCGUCAGCUCGUGUCGUGAGAUGUUGGGUUAAGUCCCGCAACGAGCGCAACCCUUAUGACUAGUUGCCAGCAUUUAGUUGGGCACUCUAGUAAGACUGCCGGUGACAAACCGGAGGAAGGUGGGGAUGACGUCAAAUCAUCAUGCCCCUUAUGACCUGGGCUACACACGUGCUACAAUGGAUGGUACAACGAGUUGCGAGACCGCGAGGUCAAGCUAAUCUCUUAAAGCCAUUCUCAGUUCGGACUGUAGGCUGCAACUCGCCUACACGAAGUCGGAAUCGCUAGUAAUCGCGGAUCAGCACGCCGCGGUGAAUACGUUCCCGGGCCUUGUACACACCGCCCGUCACACCAUGAGAGUUUGUAACACCCGAAGCCGGUGGCGUAACCCUUUUAGGGAGCGAGCCGUCUAAGGUGGGACAAAUGAUUAGGGUGAAGUCG
rnacentral:rRNA from 2 species